rnacentral:lncRNA from 1 species
GACCAUUUCAGGGCCAGUGGCUGGGGAAAGCCAGGGAGCCCUCCUGGAGGAAGGAUAGAGGGUCACAGGGAGGAGGAAGGAGGGCAGGAAGGACAGAGUUGCAGGGAGGGGAAAGAGGCUGCCCUUCACUUUUGUGUUUCUGGAAACGUCUGGACAAGCAGCAUUCCACAUGACCAUCAUGGAGCAGAGCAAAGCCUUCGGACCUCUCUCAGUUGUUAUGGUCUCCACGCCAACUCGAGGAGCAGAAUCACAGAGGCUGGAACAAGGGCCCAGAGCACCUGCGCCUGGACAGGAAAGACGAUGUCCAGUAUGUGGGAGGAGCUCUUCUUCCCAGGAGUGGAGAAGCUGAAUCCAAGAGGAUGCCAAGGCUCUGAAGUGAGGAACCUGUGGGGACCUACAUCCCGAAUCUGCUUUCAGAGGAAAACAUCUCCGACAGACCCAAUAAAUAUUCAUGUGAAGUCACACAAUACCCC